rnacentral:rRNA from 1 species
CCAAUAGCGUAUAUUAAAGUUGUUGCAGUUAAGAAGCUCGUAGUUGAAUUUCGGGAUCAAUAUGUCGGUCGUGCCUUCGGUACGUACUGGUAUCAUUGGUCUCUCCUUUCUGACGAACCAUGAUGUCAUUAAUUUGGUGUUAUGGGGAGUUAGGACUGUUACUUUGAAAAAAUUAGAGUGUUUAAAGCAGGCUUUAGCUUGAAUACAUUAGCAUGGAAUAAUGAAAUAGGACGUUCGAACCUAUUUUGUUGGUUUCUAGGAUCAACGUAAUGAUUAAUAGGGAUAGUUGGGGGCAUUAGUAUUCAAUUGUCAGAGGUGAAAUUCUUGGAUUUAUUGAAGACUAACUACUGCGAAAGCAUUUGCCAAGGAUGUUUUCAUUAAUCAAGAACGAAAGUUAGGGGAUCGAAGACGAUCAGAUACCGUCGUAGUCUUAACCAUAAACUAUGCCGACUAGGGAUCGGAUGAUGUUAAUUUUUUAAUGACUCAUUCGGCGCCUUACG